rnacentral:lncRNA from 1 species
AGGAGAGGCGGAGAAGGAACCGAGCGGGCAGUUGAGGGAAAUCUCGGAGGAGGUUACCUGCGAUCAAACUGGGGCUGCGUAGUGUUAGGGUCAGGCAGCUUUGAAGUGGAAUCCGGAUCCGCCACCUUCGCUGCGUGAUAUUGGGCAUGCCAUCAAAGCGCUCUCAACCGAACGUCUCGGGUAAAAUGGGAUUAGUGAAGUCUACCAAGGUAGUUGUGAGGAUCAAAAGAGAUAACGCGGAAAACGCCUCACCUGGCACGUUAUAGAUCCUAAAUGCCUAGCUAUUAUUAUGGAGCCCACAACCUCCAUAUUGUACAACUGGGAACACGGGACUCAAAGAGAUUAAAUAAACUAAAUGACUCACUCAAGGUCAGGUAGUGGUGGAGACCCAGGCUUCAAGUUCAAUACUCUUUGUCCUACAAAGCCUUCCCUUAAGCAGGGGUAAUAAAACAUUUCAGAAAAACCACCUUAACGAGCAUCGCUUGUGAUCUGUGGAUCACUUGGUAGUCCCCACCUCCCUCCCAUCCCCGCAAAAGUUUAGAGCUGGACAUAAGGGCCUUGGUGCAACUUUUGGAGGGCAGUUGUUCAGCUUCUGAAUUUGCAUCUGAACGAGCAAUAAGGAAUUUUCUGGGAAGUUUAGAAUUUCCAAUAAAUCUUGGAUUACUCUAAAAUGCACCAGAAAUUACAUGGUCACACUCGUGCAAUGAAAGAAGGCUUUGGCAGUAGCAUAAGACAUUAAGAAGAAGUAGGAAAUGCAGUGAGGAAGAAGUUGUAAUGUUUUCAACAGCUGCCACUAUGGAUCUAGGAUGAGAGCUUUCCACAUGUUGUUAAGAAUGAGAGACAGAUUACU